AUUGAACGCUGGCGGCAUGCCUUACACAUGCAAGUCGAACGGCAGCAUGAUCUAGCUUGCUAGAUUGAUGGCGAGUGGCGCACGGGUGAGUAAUACAUCGGAACUUGCCCUGUAGUGGGGGAUAACUAGUCGAAAGAUUAGCUAAUACCGCAUACGACCUGAGGGUGAAAGUGGGGGACCGCAAGGCCUCAUGCUAUAGGAGCGUCCGAUGUCUGAUUAGCUAGUUGGUGAGGUAAAGGCUCACCAAGGCGACGAUCAGUAGCUAGUCUGAGAGGACGAUCAGCCACACUGGGACUGAGACACGGCCCAGACUCCUACGGGAGGCAGCAGUGGGGAAUUUUGGACAAUGGGCGAAAGCCUGAUGCAGCAAUGCCGCGUGUGUGAAGAAGGCCUUCGGGUUGUAAAGCACUUUUGUCCGGAAAGAAAUGGCUCUGGUUAAUACCUGGGGUCGAUGACGGUACCGGAAGAAUAAGGACCGGCUAACUACGUG
rnacentral:rRNA from 1 species